CUUUAUGCUUGGCUGUCUCAACAUGAGAAGCAUUAAUUAUUGGAAAGAAGGCCUGCAAACACAAGGCUAAGGUUCCAACUCACUCCCUGGAGGAUGCUACGUCUCACAGGAAGAUUACAGAGGCGAUUGCAGUAUGAAGGCAACCAGCCAUGUCGUUGCUGUCUGACAAAUGGGAUGCGAUUUUCUUGUGCUUUACACUUGGGGCUCAGAUUAUUUUCGUGGAAAAUUUUUAGCACUUUGAGAUGUUAUAACACUGGCAUCCUAGAGACCGAAAUAUGAAAUAACUUAGUACAAAAUAGGUCCUCGUGGGAAGCCAAUGUGCACGUUUUCCCACCAUAUUCUGCCAACGGUGCACUAUUCUCAACUACUCCAUUUAUCUCUACGGGGCAAAUAAUGGAUGUGUUCCAGCACCCACUCAAUUUCUGUGUUUUCGUCUAGCUGAAAUAAUAAUAGAUGUAAAAUAUGGCUCUCUGUCUAAAAUUAGCCUCUGGUUAGACACUAUCAGCUACCACUCAACACAAGGAAAUUUUACACAGAAAUAAAAUGAUUACAUAGGUAGAAUGAUGCAUGAUUUCAUUUACUCAAUCAAUAAUUCUUUAUUCUUUUGGUGCCUACUCUAUGUAGUAUGUUGUACAGUAAGGGAUAAAGAAACAAACAGGAAUAGGCUCCUGUUCUCAAGGAGUUUAUCUUUGAGGUUGACUUUUUUAUUCUUUUAUAGUUUUACUGUAUAACUGUAAUGCCUCCCGUCCUGAAAAUGACAGUUAUUACAGGUUUAACUCACAGCAAAUAUUGUUACCUGAAACCUACCACCACAGUCUCAGGAGAACCCACAAACCUGGAUGUAGCAUUCUGCAGUGUGUCUUUGUCUGGGAACAGAGUACAGCAGCUGUUUCCUAAGUUCUAAACACAGACCCAUAAUUCACAUAUGUAGGCAAAAGUGAUUCAGGCUAAGUAUGUGUUCCUUUCAAAGCACUAAUUUAAAGAAAUACCACUUUUUUUUCCAAAUAGCAUUUAGUCACAAAAUAUUUUAGAAAAAUACCAAUUUUCUGUUGUGGGGAAAUCGUUUAAGGGCUGGGCUGAAAUUCAGAGGAAGACUUUUGUUUCUUCUUUUAAAUAAAAAGUCACUUUAU
rnacentral:lncRNA from 10 species